CCCGGCCUGUAAUUCCUUUUUUAAUGCCCUAAAGAAUGAAUAAAUAGAGAAGAGGAAGAACUUUCGGCAAGACACACUUAAGACAUUCGUUGUGAGAUAACUAUGAUCUGAAACUGAGAGUCACUUCAAAAAUCUAGGAAUUUUCUGGAUGUCACGAAGCAAGAAAGUGAUGGAGACAUUCAUUAUACUCAGCAUUUCUCCACCAGGAAGGAGCCGUAACCAGCCUGGGCUCACAAUGGAGCUGGUAAAGGCAGCCUCGGUGUAAGACAGAGCUGGAAUCUUCUUUGAGCUACCUGAACGUUUCAUCCCUCCACGCUGUUUCUGUCUCAGAACUCUUUUUUUCUCUCCUUGCCAUUGAGCACCUGGGGUCCUGUCCCAAAGUCAGCAAAGCAAUGGCACAUCUCCCCCGGAGGAGAGAUGACCAUAUGCCACCUGCACAUAAAGCUGGACAUGGCCCUCAAGUCUACGACUCUGUGCUAUGGGGGGGUCUGAUUCAUAAGGGUGAUGGAAGAAGGUGAGGCAACUCCUUCUCUCUUUGGGUUGAACUGUUUUGAUGAAUAGCCUAUCUUCCACAGACAACACAAAACACCACCUCCUGAUAUCACAUUCAGUCCUUCUUGUAUUCCCUACCUUGCCUUCUGAAAAACUUCUUGGAAUGAUUUUGAAUGUUAUGAUCUUCCUUUCCUAGAGGCUAGUAAUAUUCUGCACAUUGCCCUGUUGGUUUUAUCAAUAGUAAAUUUACC